rnacentral:rRNA from 1 species
CACGGGGGGCCUACGGGAGGCAGCAGUGGGGAAUAUUGCACAAUGGGCGCAAGCCUGAUGCAGCCAUGCCGCGUGUGUGAAGAAGGCCUUAGGGUUGUAAAGCACUUUCAGUCGUGAGGAAAGGUGUGUAGUUAAUAACUGCAUACUGUGACGUUAGCGACAGAAGAAGGACCGGCUAACUCCGUGCCAGCAGCCGCGGUAAUACGGAGGGUCCGAGCGUUAAUCGGAAUUACUGGGCGUAAAGCGCGCGUAGGUGGAUUGGUCAGUCAGAUGUGAAAGCCCUGGGCUCAACCUGGGAACUGCACCUGAUACUGCCAGUCUAGAAUACGGUAGAGGGUAGUGGAAUUUCCUGUGUAGCGGUGAAAUGCGUAGAUAUAGGAAGGAACACCAGUGGCGAAGGCGACUACCUGGACCGAUAUUGACACUGAGGUGCGAAAGCGUGGGGAGCAAACAGGAUUAGAUACCCUGGUAGUCCACGCCGUAAACGAUGUCUACUAGUUGUUGGAAGACUUGAUCUUUUAGUAACGAAGCUAACGCGAUAAGUAGA